rnacentral:rRNA from 1 species
GACGAACCGAGCGAACGUUGUUCGGAAUCACUGGGCUUAAAGGGCGCGUAGGCGGGCUCGCAAGUCUGUGGUGAAAUCCUCCGGCUCAACCGGAGAACUGCCUCGGAUACUGCGGGUCUCGAGGGUGAUAGGGGUAUGCGGAACUAUCGGUGGAGCGGUGAAAUGCGUUGAUAUCGAUAGGAACUCCGGUGGCGAAGGCGGCAUACUGGAUCACUUCUGACGCUGAGGCGCGAAAGCCAGGGGAGCAAACGGG